rnacentral:rRNA from 1 species
CCUACGGGAGGCAGCAGUGAGGAAUAUUGGUCAAUGGACGAAAGGCUGAACCAGCCAAGUAGCGUGAAGGAUGACUGCCCUAUGGGUUGUAAACUUCUUUUAUAUGGGAAUAAAAUGUUCCACGUGUGGGAUUUUGUAUGUACCAUAUGAAUAAGCAUCGGCUAACUCCGUGCCAGCAGCCGCGGUAAUACGGAGGAUCCGAGCGUUAUCCGGAUUUAUUGGGUUUAAAGGGAGCGUAGGUGGAUUGUUAAGUUAGUUGUGAAAGUUUGGGGCUCCACCGUGAAAUUGCAGUUGAUACUGGCAGUCUUGAGUACAGUAGAGGUGGGCGGAAUUCGUGGUGUAGCGGUGAAAUGCUUAGAUAUCACGAAGAACUCCGAUUGCGAAGGCAGCUCACUGGACUGCAACUGACACUGAGGCUCGAAAGUGUGGGUAUCAAACAGGAUUAGAUACCCCUGUAGUC